UCAAAGAUAAUUCCUGAGCUCCUCUUGCCA
rnacentral:piRNA from 1 species